AGUGGGGAGGAACAGUGAGGGGGUUCAAAUAGGUGAUCCCACUCAGCCUGCUGCUUACUUUUUGUUUGAAUGGUGUGUGUGUGUGUGUGUGUGUGUGUGUGUGUGUGUGUGUGUGUGUAAGGUAUGUACCUGUAUCAUGGUAGCAUACAGAGGUCAGAUGACUUCUACCUUGUUUGAGAUAAGGUCUCUUGUUCUUCCAUUGAGAAUGCCAGGCUAGCUGACCAGCAAGCUUCUGGAAGUCUCCUGCAGCCACAUCCCAUGUCCCCGUGUUGGGGUUGUAAACAUGUAAGUAACACGCCCAGCUUGUAUGUGAGCUCUGGGGAUUCACUCUCGAGUCCUUACACUUGCAAGUACUUUUACCCGUUGAGCCUUCUCCCCAGCAGUGAGCAUCCCACUUUGACCCAUCAGACUGGCUGUGUUCAUGUGUGUCCUAAAGUUAUGCCAAUAACUCACUAUGUUCAUCGGGUGCCUUGGACACUGUCCAGCUGGACUUUGUAAACUAUGACUCCAGCGUAUUUUAUGUGGCAUUUCUGUGUCCUCUGAGUGCUUGUUCCCUAAGUUAAACCAGUCUACUGUGUACUGUCACACUGAGUGAACGAGUGCGUGGCCCAAAGCACGAGAGAAUGGAUUGUUGCAGUCUGAGCCAGUAUAUUAACCACUGCUGGAGAGGGUGACAGAGGCACUGUUGGAAUGGGUGACAUCAGACCAGAGCCAGGCAUAGUGACUGAGUCAGAGGCAGGUGGAUAUCUGUGAGUGCAAGGCUAGCCUGUUCUACAUAGUGAGUCCCAGGCCAGCCAAAACUACAUACUGGGACCCUUUCUAAAAGAUAAAAACAACAUUUUCAAAGGGCAGUGUCUGGGGGAUAUUAUAAACGUUCAGUCUGUGCUAGAAGAGACUCAUUCAUAGAAAUUUUUUCUCCAUAAGUAAUGACAAAAUGAGCUAAAUAUAUAUGUGGGAAUGUUCAGUCCUAGGGUCUGAAACAAUUCAUGUUCAUUAAUAAAGACUUGGUUAAGUAAAAAGAUGGAAUAUUGGCUAGGCACUAACAAGAGUGGUGUAGAUGUUUAUAGAGUAGCCUUUGAAGACAUUUAGGACAUUGUUGAGUGAAAAAAAUAGGUUAUAAAAUGGAAUAAUUAUAUGCAAUACAUACACGUGCAUAUAUAUUUAUGAGUUUUUAUUUAUUUGUAGUGAUUAUAUACACAUUGUUAUGUGCGUGCCCGCGCGUGCGCGAGCGCACACACACACACACACACACACACACACACAAAGACUGUGACCAGGCUCCGUGCCUGUGACAUUCCAGUCUCCCCACUGACGUUCCGACCGAUCAGCCUUGCAGAAGGCUCAGGGAAGGUGAAUUUUCUUUCCUGGGAACCUUUGUAUGGAUACACUCAUUGUACGCAUACACCCCGCUACCUUCCUUCCCUUAUCUCUCUUGGGCUCGUGUUGGCUUCCCUCUUUCCAGCUAGUCUGCCUCCUGCUCUCAAGCCUUGUUGUUUCGGUUGCUUGUUGACAGGCCUUGCGCAUGCGCUGUGCAUUCGUGAUCAUGACAACCCUGUCCUUCCCAGAAGACAACGCUUCACCACACUCCUCUCCGGCCUUGAGCUCCUGUGGUUCUGCAGCUUUUCCAUGAUCUCCCCCGGAGCUUCGGGGUGGUGAGACAGAUUCCUCCUUUAGGGCUAAAUACAAAUGACUCUGCAUUACCAGAAGCUGCACUGGCCGGGCUGAGAAGAGCUUACAUGGAUGUCUGUAUAAAUAUUUAGAAGGCAGUUUGGCUCUGUGUGCGUUUAGCAAAACACCAGUUGCACAGUAGCAUGUUCUGUUCUGGCGUCUCUGACUUCCCCUGAUGCAUCAGUUACUCUUCUGUGGCUGUGAUAGAGACCAAAGGAAGGGAGAGUUUGUUUUGGAUUCUUAUCCUAUGGAAUAAGAAUCCAUGGUUGUGGAGCACAGGCAGCAAGCAGCAGGUAUGGCGGAGCAGGACAGGAUGCUGAACCUCAAGCAAGAAGCAGAGAGAGCCAGACGCAAAGAGAGCAAGACACAGAGAAAGAGAGAAAGCAACCUAGAAACAACAUGAAUCUUUAAACCCCAAAAGCCUCUCUGGUGACACGCUGCUUCUCCGAGACAAUCAACAGGCUGGCAGUAAUGUCUGCUUCCUGUACCCAGACAGAGUCCCUCAGGCCUACACGUGCUUGCGUUAGCCAGAUCUGCUCAAUGUCAGCUGCUCAGGGGUCCACCCACCACAGAGCCAGGGAGAAGUGGCUCUGUGGAAGCCAACAGGUCCCCUGUAAGUUCUGACAUAGCCCCUUGGACAAGUCUGUUCCUUUACCUACCUCCCUGCCACAGGCCCCUAGGACUCCCUUUUCUCAGAAACAGAAGGCUUGUGGUGUCAACCUCUACCCCUGAGGGAAUUCUGUUCUGCAGCAAGACAGCAGGAAGCGUACUGCCAUGACAGAGGGACUGGCCGGUGGCUCUUUUCCAUCUGCUGGGACAAGGCUGCACCAAGAUAAACAGGAGGCUGUCCACCCUGGGAAUUCCCAGAGAACGUGUUCUUUUUCAACCCGGAGGCAGAGAUAUCCUGACAUUGAUCCAUGGCAUGGUCCCUGCUGGGAAUCUUUCCAGACCCACAGGAGGAAGGGCCAGGAUGUGAGCUGUCCUGUUAACUGGACUAGAGCAGCUGGAGUGAGGACCGGGAACAGCUGGACUUGGCUUUGAGGGGGAAAACGAAGGGAGACUGACAGAUCCAGACCCAGGCAGCGGCUGCGUGGGCAGAGGCCUAUCCUGUCUUCUCUCUGCAUCCAUGCUGGAUGGAACCACACUGCUUGCCUCUCGGGCUGGAUGAUAAGAUGUGGGCCAACCUCAGACAUCAUACACCGUCUGUGCAGGAAACUCCUUGGGCUGCAUCUGCCUGUCUUGCUUACAGGGCAGGUUUGAGAUAGGAAGUGACAUUUUUCUCAGUUGCCCCUCUUCCUCAGAGACACUGGAAGUCGGGCCCUCAACAACAUGGUGUCCACUCUGUGGCCUGCUCAUGGUCUGGCCCACAGCACCAGCCUAUUUGUGAGGCCAGACCACUAGGAGUAGAAAUUUGCCAAGUCUGGCAGCCAUCAGCUCCUGCACACCUCCCUCCGAUCCAAGUUUCCUAAGAGAACCAUUUCCAUCUCCACGUGGUCCCUCCCCUGGGAACAUGGAGUGCUCUGCUGGCUCCUGGUACUGCUUCUGCCUGAAUUUCGGGCUCCUCGGCUUUCUCAGAGGGAUCUGAUUACCCCCAGCAUUGCACACUUGGAUGACACAGUCCACCUCCUCUGGACACUUGACGGACAUGGGGACCUUGAAGUUCAUCUAGAAACCCUGGCUGGUGGUCAUGGGCCUCCUGUUGGUGAUCAUUGAGGCUGGAGGUCAGCACGAUGGACAAAUGCUGCCUUUAUACUGAUUGCCCAGGAUUUGGAGCUCUUUCACACACGGCUGAGAUGUGCUUCGAGUGGUCUAUCUGAAAAUGCACGCUCGGACGGUACCCCCUUCCCGUGCCCCCGCCAAAGUGGGUGCCCAGUAGGGGUUGGCGAGCUCUCCUUGACUGCUGAGACUCUGUCCCCAGAUAUUUGUGAUCCGGCUGCACCUGACAGAACCAUUUCAUGCACCUGCAGUAGGAGCCCAUGACCUGCUCCAUUAGUUCACCAUAGCCACCUUACAGGACAUUGCUGACCUGCGGGCAACCCAGCAAGACACUCCCACCCCCACCCCAGGCUUCCUCUAACUUUCAUGGGAGCCCAUAUGAGUUUUCCUUCAAAGGGCUCUGAGCACCCCAUCUCCCCGUUCUCCUGGAAAUCUUUGGUCAGGCCUCAGCUUGUCAAUAACCCUGGCAGCAUUAACCUUAUGCUCGCCAGGUACCGGCACCAACCCAAAGUAGACACUGUUUGGUCGGCUGUCACACACAGUCCUAGGAGGCUUACACAAGGCUCUUCAGGUGCUGCUGCUCAGCCAGGGGGUCCAGAAGAGUUCUGUGAAUGCAGGAAUGUGGGUAGUUUGUGUUGGUGUCCUGUCUAAGCUCCACCCCCACAGAUACCUGGCAGCAGUCAGGUAAGCUCCGCCCCACAGUUGCCUAGCAACAGUCAGCUGUGCCUGACUAUGUAAGGGGCUGU
rnacentral:sRNA from 1 species